GAUGAACGCUGGCGGCGUGCCUAAUACAUGCAAGUCGAGCGAACGGACGAGAAGCUUGCUUCUCUGAUGUUAGCGGCGGACGGGUGAGUAACACGUGGAUAACCUACCUAUAAGACUGGGAUAACUUCGGGAAACCGGAGCUAAUACCGGAUAAUAUUUUGAACCGCAUGGUUCAAAAGUGAAAGACGGUCUUGCUGUCACUUAUAGAUGGAUCCGCGCUGCAUUAGCUAGUUGGUAAGGUAACGGCUUACCAAGGCAACGAUGCAUAGCCGACCUGAGAGGGUGAUCGGCCACACUGGAACUGAGACACGGUCCAGACUCCUACGGGAGGCAGCAGUAGGGAAUCUUCCGCAAUGGGCGAAAGCCUGACGGAGCAACGCCGCGUGAGUGAUGAAGGUCUUCGGAUCGUAAAACUCUGUUAUUAGGGAAGAACAUAUGUGUAAGUAACUGUGCACAUCUUGACGGUACCUAAUCAGAAAGCCACGGCUAACUACGUGCCAGCAGCCGCGGUAAUACGUAGGUGGCAAGCGUUAUCCGGAAUUAUUGGGCGUAAAGCGCGCGUAGGCGGUUUUUUAAGUCUGAUGUGAAAGCCCACGGCUCAACCGUGGAGGGUCAUUGGAAACUGGAAAACUUGAGUGCAGAAGAGGAAAGUGGAAUUCCAUGUGUAGCGGUGAAAUGCGCAGAGAUAUGGAGGAACACCAGUGGCGAAGGCGACUUUCUGGUCUGUAACUGACGCUGAUGUGCGAAAGCGUGGGGAUCAAACAGGAUUAGAUACCCCGGUAGUCCACGCCGUAAACGAUGAGUGCUAAGUGUUAGGGGGUUUCCGCCCCUUAGUGCUGCAGCUAACGCAUUAAGCACUCCGCCUGGGGAGUACGACCGCAAGGUUGAAACUCAAAGGAAUUGACGGGGACCCGCACAAGCGGUGGAGCAUGUGGUUUAAUUCGAAGCAACGCGAAGAACCUUACCAAAUCUUGACAUCCUUUGACAACUCUAGAGAUAGAGCCUUCCCCUUCGGGGGACAAAGUGACAGGUGGUGCAUGGUUGUCGUCAGCUCGUGUCGUGAGAUGUUGGGUUAAGUCCCGCAACGAGCGCAACCCUUAAGCUUAGUUGCCAUCAUUAAGUUGGGCACUCUAAGUUGACUGCCGGUGACAAACCGGAGGAAGGUGGGGAUGACGUCAAAUCAUCAUGCCCCUUAUGAUUUGGGCUACACACGUGCUACAAUGGACAAUACAAAGGGCAGCGAAACCGCGAGGUCAAGCAAAUCCCAUAAAGUUGUUCUCAGUUCGGAUUGUAGUCUGCAACUCGACUACAUGAAGCUGGAAUCGCUAGUAAUCGUAGAUCAGCAUGCUGCGGUGAAUACGUUCCCGGGUCU
rnacentral:rRNA from 1 species